AUUGAACGCUGGCGGCAGGCCUAACACAUGCAAGUCGAGCGGAUGAAGGGAGCUUGCUCCUGUAUUCAGCGGCGGACGGGUGAGUAAUGCCUAGGAAUCUGCCUGGUCGUGGGGGAUAACGUCCGGAAACGGGCGCUAAUACCGCAUACGUCCUGAGGUAGAAAGUGGGGGAUCUUCGGACCUCACGCUAUCAGAUGAGCCUAGGUCGGAUUAGCUAGUUGGUGGGGUAAAGGCCUACCAAGGCGACGAUCCGUAACUGGUCUGAGAGGAUGAUCAGUCACACUGGAACUGAGACACGGUCCAGACUCCUACGGGAGGCAGCAGUGGGGAAUAUUGGACAAUGGGCGAAAGCCUGAUCCAGCCAUGCCGCGUGUGUGAAGAAGGUCUUCGGAUUGUAAAGCACUUUAAGUUGGGAGGAAGGGCAGUAAGUGAAUACAUUGCUGUUUUGACGUUACCAACAGAAUAAGCACCGGCUAACUUCGUG
rnacentral:rRNA from 1 species